GGACAGGUGGUGCAUGGUUGUCGUCAGCUCGUGUCGUGAGAUGUUGGGUUAAGUCCCGCAACGAGCGCAACCCCUAUUGUUAGUUGCCAUCAUUCAGUUGGGCACUCUAGCGAGACUGCCGGUAAUAAACCGGAGGAAGGUGGGGAUGACGUCAAAUCAUCAUGCCCCUUAUGACCUGGGCUACACACGUGCUACAAUGGUUGGUACAACGAGUUGCGAGUCGGUGACGGCGAGCUAAUCUCUUAAAGCCAAUCUCAGUUCGGAUUGUAGGCUGCAACUCGCCUACAUGAAGUCGGAAUCGCUAGUAAUCGCGGAUCAGCACGCCGCGGUGAAUACGUUCCCGGGCCCUU
rnacentral:rRNA from 1 species